UAUGAUUCCUGCCUUCCUCUGGCUGUGGACAGGGUGACUGAGUGGCUCCUCCCACUGCGUCCAGCACUGCACCCAGCUGGCAGGGACUUCUCCUUGGCACAUGGCAGGCUGGUCACCCUGUGAAGCAGGAAUAUUUCUGCAUCUCUUCAGACACCUUCUCACGUGGUCCUACCAUGAGCUGCCAGUCUCUCCAGAGGACGCAAACGGCUGUCUGUUCAACUGCUGCUCCAGCCCUAAACAUGCCUCGAGGAGGGUUCUUGCUCAGUUGCUGAGGCUGGCUCUGAACUUGUGAUCCUCCUGCCUCAGCCUCCAGAGUUGCUAGGAUUACAGGUGAUAAAAGUGAGGUGCAGGGAGGUCACAUGGCAUGCCCUGCUGAGGCAAGAGCCAGGAUUUGAACCUGAAUGCCCCAUUCCCGAGGGACUCUCAGCCACUGGGCAUCCCACCCUCGAGCCCUGCAUGCCUAAUAUACAAGGUCUCCUCCUUCAGCCAAACUCAACCAAGCAAAGUCCCAUGUCUCCUGAACCCCAGUGCCUGGCGUCGAGCCCGGGAUGUGAAACACGCUGAGCCGGUGCCUGGCCUGGCCUCCCCUGCUUCCUUCUCACACCCCAGGCCACUGUCCGUAGGGCAGCAGGCCUUCCCAGUCCUCUUUCUCGCUCCCGUUUGGCGUCUUCUUGGCCCCUUAGCCCUGUUUUUCAGUCUCGAAAGCAGCUACUUUCUCGUGAGCCAGCAAAGUUCAGAGGAAAUCCACGCACAUGUUCUGAGAGUUUCCAGACUUGGUCU